rnacentral:rRNA from 1 species
AUUGAACGCUGGCGGCAUGCCUUACACAUGCAAGUCGAACGGUAACGGGUCCUUCGGGAUGCCGACGAGUGGCGAACGGGUGAGUAAUAUAUCGGAACGUGCCCAGUAGUGGGGGAUAACUGCUCGAAAGAGCAGCUAAUACCGCAUACGACCUGAGGGUGAAAGCGGGGGACCGUAAGGCCUCGCGCGAUUGGAGCGGCCGAUGUCUGAUUAGCUAGUUGGUGGGGUAAAGGCCCACCAAGGCGACGAUCAGUAGCGGGUCUGAGAGGAUGAUCCGCCACACUGGGACUGAAACACGGCCCAGACUCCUACGGGAGGCAGCAGUGGGGAAUUUUGGACAAUGGGGGCAACCCUGAUCCAGCCAUGCCGCGUGCGGGAAGAAGGCCUCGGUUGUAACGCUUCUAGACGAAGAAUACGCAUGGACUAAUACUCUGUGUGGAUGACGGUACCGUAACGAAGAAGACACCGGCUAAC